GGGUGGCUGCCGGGCCACGGGAGCACCGCCCUCUUAGUGGGGAGCUGGGGGCCUUCAGGGGCCACAGCCGACGGCUCCCAGCAGCACCUGAGCCUAGGGCUACUUGAACCCAGAAAGCGGAAACAAGAUGGGAGAGGGGGGAUGACAGGAAAGCCCGAGUAUCCCAGGACUUCCUCUUCAAGGUCAAGAUCUAGGAUCCUAUGAUAUAUUGAUUGAAAAUCAUGUGAUUACUCUCAAGAACUGCCAUCUGAGUUGGGAAAAGACCUCCCCGUCCCAGGACGUGAGCUCCUACUGGAAAUCUGAAUAUGAUGUUGCUGAGAGUGGGGAGAAAAUUAAUAUGGACAGUAGCAACUUCUGGGAGCCCACCUUCUCCUUCCCCCAGGUGCCCUAGGAUUCCCAGACUGAGAAAUGAAGGCGCUAACUUUGUCCAGAAUGAGAGCCCCUUCUUAACGUCAAAGCAAUCUUCAGAUCUGCCCUAACUCGCCAGCAUGAGAUGGCAGUGGACCACUUAGCAUCCACUGAUUGAAAGUGUGUGGAAUGACUAAAGAGCUCAAAUGGAUCCACUGACACUUUAACAUGGAUCAUAAUUAAUCCCUUGUACCUGCAUCUAUAUUCAUCUGCCCCCCCCCCCCAAAAAAAAAAAGUAAUCCACAUUUGUGCAAGGUUA